UACAGAGGUCCCAAGCGUUGUUCGGAUUCACUGGGCGUAAAGGGUGCGUAGGUGGUCAGAUAAGUUUGAUGUGAAAUCUCCGGGCUUAACCCGGAAAUGGCAUUGAAUACUAUUGGCUGGAGGGUUGGAGGGGGGACUGGGAAUUCUCGGUGUAGCAGUGAAAUGCGUAGAUAUCGAGAGGAACACCAGUGGCGAAAGGCGAGUCCCCUGGACAACUCCUGACACUGAGG
rnacentral:rRNA from 1 species